GACCAGUGGAAACUGACUGUUUAAUUAAAACAGAGUAUCAUGAAGGUCUGCUGAGUGUGUUGGCAGGAUGUGAUUUCUGCCCAGUGCUAUGAACAUCAAAGUGUAGAAAUUCAAUGAAGCUUGGGUAAAUGGCAGAAAUAACUAUGGCCCUCCUAAAGUAGCCAAAUGCCUUGUCAUGCACAAAUGGAUGAACCCGAAUCCC
rnacentral:ncRNA from 1 species